UAAGCCCAGCCGACGCCGGCCGCUCCUGCAGCAGACUCAGCAAAGACCUGAAACUCGUAUUUCAAAGCAGGUGGAGGGGGGGGGGGGCUGCAACAGCAGAAGCCCACAUUUUAUAACUAAGCUCCCGUGCACUUUCCUGCCCUGCCUAGGACCUGCCCCAUCUAAGUCAGCGGCACAGGAGCACGGGAAAGUGAGUCCGGAGACUUCGUCCGAUGUGGAAACUCAGCCUGUUGUCUCCAGGGUGCCUUGGAUGGAUUAGCCUGAUAAGGUAAACCUAGGAGCCGCUUGGAUUUCUAGGAAGAGCCUUAGAAGCAUGUGGACGGGAAAAGGGAGAAUGGCCUUAAGCAAAUGAGAAUUUUGUUGGAAUUCCUGCUUCACAGUUGGCGAGAGUUUUCCACCAGACUCUGGCUCGAGGCUGGACCUGACUUAUCCCUGGAUUAAUCCGGUUCUGAAGACAGGGGCCAUGGAGCUCACUCCUGUGCUACGGUGAGGACAUUGAGAACCUGGGGAUCAUCUGUGCCACCCUGGCCUGAAGACUGAGUCUGUGGAAGCCUUGGAGUGGGCUUCGAGUUUGGAGCCUGUGGGGCCAAGAAUCAGCCUGGUAAUUAGGUAGGCUUGGAGGGCCAGGGUGUGGGUACUGUCCUGAAGUCUUGGUCUGAGGGAACCAGACCAGCAUGGAGUUUACUGGGACAGGCCCAGUGUCUUCAUGCAAGCAAUUGUCACUGCUGACAUACUUACUCCUUUGCUACUGGAAGGGAUGUCUCUCCAGUCAUACUUUUGGGAUGGAGAGGGAGGAUGGGUGAAAACCUGUUAUUCCUCCUCCACUCAGGUGUGAUCACUCGUGUGGUUUCCUUGGUUCUUGAGGCAUUUUCCCAUGUAGAUAGUUCAAAUUGGU